ACUGAUCGGCCACAUUGGGACUGAGACCCGGCCCAAAUUCCUACGGGAGGCUGCAGUAGGGAAUCUUCCACAAUGGGCGAAAGCCUGAUGGAGCAACGCCGCGUGUGUGAUGAAGGCUUUCGGGUCGUAAAGCACUGUUGUAUGGGAAGAAAAGUUAAGGUAGGGAAUGACCUUAGCCUGACGGUACCAUACCAGAAAGGGACGGCUAAAUACGUGCCAGCAGCCGCGGUAAUACGUAUGUCCCGAGCGUUAUCCGGAUUUAUUGGGCGUAAAGCGAGCGCAGACGGUUGGUUAAGUCUGAUGUGAAAGCCCGGAGCUCAACUCCGGAAAGGCAUUGGAAACUGGUUAACUUGAGUGCAGUAGAGGUAAGUGGAACUCCAUGUGUAGCGGUGGAAUGCGUAGAUAUAUGGAAGAACACCAGCGGCGAAGGCGGCUUACUGGACUGUAACUGACGUUGAGGCUCGAAAGUGUGGGUAGCAAACAGGAUUAGAUACCCUGGUAGUCCACACCGUAAACGAUGAACACUAGGUGUUAGGAGGUUUCCGCCUCUUAGUGCCGAAGCUAACGCAUUAAGUGUUCCGCCUGGGGAGUACGACCGCAAGGUUGAAACUCAAAGGAAUUGACGGGGACCCGCACAAGCGGUGGAGCAUGUGGUUUAAUUCGAAGCAACGCGAAGAACCUUACCAGGUCUUGACAUCCUUUGAAGCUUUUAGAAAUAGAAGUGUUCUCUUCGGAGACAAAGUGACAGGUGGUGCAUGGUCGUCGUCAGCUCGUGUCGUGAGAUGUUGGGUUAAGUCCCGCAACGAGCGCAACCCUUAUUGUUAGUUGCCAGCAUUCAGAUGGGCACUCUAGCGAGACUGCCGGUGACAAACCGGAGGAAGGCGGGGACGACGUCAGAUCAUCAUGCCCCUUAUGACCUGGGCUACACACGUGCUACAAUGGCGUAUACAACGAGUUGCCAACCUGCGAAGGUGAGCUAAUCUCUUAAAGUACGUCUCAGUUCGGACUGCAGUCUGCAACUCGACUGCACGAAGUCGGAAUCGCUAGUAAUCGCGGAUCAGCACGCCGCGGUGAAUACGUUCCCGGGUCUUGUACACACCGCCCGUCACACCAUGGAAGUUUGUAAUGCCCAAAGCCGGUGGCCUAACCGUAAGGAGGGAACCGUCUAAGG
rnacentral:rRNA from 1 species